AGUCAUAUGCUUGUCUCAAAGAUUAAGCCAUGCAUGUGUAAGUACAAGCCGAUUUAAGGCGAAACCGCGAAUGGCUCAUUAAAUCAGCUAUGUUUCAUUGGAUCUGUAAACCCACUUACUUGGAUAACUGUGGCAAUUCUAGAGCUAAUACAUGCAAUUGGUCUCUGACCGCAAGGGAAGAGCGCUUUUAUUAGUUCAAAACUGGUCGGGCCCCGGUCCGUAACCCACCUGUGGUGAAUCUGAAUAACUUCGGGCUGAGCGCACGGUCUCCGCACCGGCGCCGCUUCUUUCAAGUGUCUGCCUUAUCAGCUUUCGAUUGUAGGUUAUGCGCCUACAAUGGCUAUAACGGGUAACGGGGAAUCAGGGUUCGAUUCCGGAGAGGGAGCCUGAGAAACGGCUACCACAUCUAAGGAAGGCAGCAGGCACGCAAAUUACCCACUCCCGGCACGGGGAGGUAGUGACGAAAAAUAACGAUGUGAGUCUCAUCCGAGGCCUCGCAAUCGGAAUGAGUACACUUUAAAUCCUUUAACGAGUAUCCAUUGGAGGGCAAGUCUGGUGCCAGCAGCCGCGGUAAUUCCAGCUCCAAUAGCGUAUAUUAAAGUUGUUGCGGUUAAAAAGCUCGUAGUUGGAUCUCAGUUCCGGACUGACGGUGCACCGCCCGGUGUUUACUGUCACGCUCCGAACAGCCGCCCCGCCGGCUCGCACGGGAUGCUCUUUGUCGAGUGUCCCGAGUGGCCGGAGAGUUUACUUUGAAAAAAUUAGAGUGCUC
rnacentral:rRNA from 1 species